rnacentral:lncRNA from 1 species
GGAUGUUUGGAAAGAGUGAGCGACACACGUCACGAACGCUUUUGGGGGUUCUAGUUUUCCAAAGGAGGGGGGUGGGGGAGAGUUAUUAAGAGGCCGAGUAUUAUGUUGUGGUGUUCGUUGUGCAUUAAGAAUCAUGCAAUAAUUUCAUGAUUUUGCAAUCGUCGUCGGUGAUGAGGGAAAAGACGCAAGAAAUUAAGGGGAAUGGGAUCAUUUUGCAUAUUUGAUGUUGUAUGUGUACUUGAAUGGAUUAUAGAGAAGCGAGCCGUGCUUAUAACUAACACGUUUGGUUUUGAUGUUGGAAUUGAUUUGAAUUAGCGAUUCAUCAUGAAUGAGUAAGUGCCUUUUAAAGGUGUGUUUACUGUGUUUGUAUAGAUUUUUUAAAAAUAUUUUAUUCUUUAAAAUUGCAGUUUUUGGGUCUGCGUUCAAUAAGUAGGUUACCUUUGGGGGGGGGGGACAUUCACGAGACUUUGGUCAUGCGUGCGACAUAGGUUGGGCUAUAUCGAAAGCACCAACUGUUGUAUGGUAAUGACUCGCUUUUUGUGCAUUAAUUCUUUGCUUAGACCCAAACAAUUAAACUUUGCCUUUCGGUCUUUCAUUUGGCUUUCAAGUGUCAGGGCUAAAAUAUAGACCCAAUUACUCGGAUCGCUCGUUUGCUUUGUUAAGUCCCAAAAAACUGUUUUCACUGAUUGAUUCCGCUAAUAGUUUGUCUCGUACAACUGAGAUCUUCGCAGGAACGUGGGAUUUUUUGGAUUUCCGGGUGUUUGACUGGAUCCUGACGUCGUUUCAAUUGAUCUGCCAGCAAUUAUUAUCUGAUUUCUCAGAGCUUUGGCUUUCGCUACGCAGAUUUAUGUUUUCCUGUUUCAGUAUGUCCGGGAGGACAUUCUUUCUCUGAAGAGCCGACUUCAUUUUGAUCCACAAACUAAAUGAAAAAAGUUGUCUCUUAGCUGUUCCAGUUGCUCUUCUACGAUAAAAACUAGCCAUCACACAAGACAAUCACAAAGCCAAAAUAAAUGGGAUGACAGUGAUGCAUCACGCCAUGUUGUAUGACUCCAUUGGAUUACGACUGCCUUUUUAUUACGGUGUCAUCGAACGAUACAAGUUGUUUCCCCAAGUUCACGAACCAGUGCAUUUCUACAUAGGACUCUAACCAAUCGAUUUUACCAUCGUUUAUCGAUUGGGUAGUUGUUUUCAUCCUUUCUACAGAUUGUUCUGCACGUGAAGCAAAUCGAGACCAUCGACAUUUCUUCUGGUAUGUGUUUACAAAUGGUUUUCGUGUUCAAACAUUGGAACAACAGAGUGCACACUUACAUGUAAUAUUGGACUAACUUUAGUUUUUUAUUUGCUUCACGUGCUGAACAUUUGCGAAAUCGGAUGUUCCAAAAUAAUAGGGACUGAAAUUCUAAAAAUUAAAAGGGUUUUGGACAUUCAAUGGAAUUGGACCACAAAACUUCCAGCAAUCCUAGGGAAAGUCCCUUGAAUGAAUCCCUGUUAAAAAAUCAACCAUAUGAAACUUAAUUAACGAUUGAGGCUGGAAAAUAUUAGAUACAUUUUGAAAUAAAUAUAGUAACAAGUCUUUACAAUUCA